GAUGAACGCUGGCGGCGUGCCUAAUACAUGCCAGUCGAGCGAACAGAUAAGGAGCUUGCUCCUUUGACGUUAGCGGCGGACGGGUGAGUAACACGUGGGUAACCUACCUAUAAGACUGGAAUAACUCCGGGAAACCGGGGCUAAUGCCGGAUAACAUGUUGAACCGCAUGGUUCUACAGUGAAGGGCGGCUUUGCUGUCACUUAUAGAUGGACCCGCGCCGUAUUAGCUAGUUGGUGAGGUAACGGCUCACCAAGGCAACGAUACGUAGCCGACCUGAGAGGGUGAUCGGCCACACUGGAACUGAGACACGGUCCAGACUCCUACGGGAGGCAGCAGUAGGGAAUCUUCCGCAAUGGGCGAAAGCCUGACGGAGCAACGCCGCGUGAGUGAUGAAGGUCUUCGGAUCGUAAAACUCUGUUAUUAGGGAAGAACAAAUGCGUAAGUAACUGUGCGCGUCUUGACGGUACCUAAUCAGAAAGCCACGGCUAACUACGUG
rnacentral:rRNA from 1 species